rnacentral:ncRNA from 1 species
GUCGACUCAUCCUAUCCUCCUGGCGCAUAACCUAGGAAGGGUUCGGCUGUUCGCCGAUUAAAAGGGUACGUGAGUUGGGUUUAGUACGACGUGAGUCAGUAC